GCACUGCCGAGGAGUCCCACAAUAGGACGAAACAGCCGUCCAGUGC
rfam:Schistosoma haematobium scaffold612_9, whole genome shotgun sequence.